rnacentral:rRNA from 1 species
AGUGAACGCUGGCGGUAGGCCUAACACAUGCAAGUCGAACGGCAGCACAGUAAGAGCUUGCUCUUACGGGUGGCGAGUGGCGGACGGGUGAGGAAUACAUCGGACUCUACUUUUUCGUGGGGGAUAACGUAGGGAAACUUACGCUAAUACCGCAUACGACCUACGGUUGAAAGCAUGGGAUCUUCGGACCUUGCGCGAUUGAAUGCGCCGAUGUCGGAUUAGCUAGUUGGCGGGGUAAAGGCCCACCAAGGCGACGAUCCGUAGCUGGUCUGAGAGGAGGAUAGGCAACACUGGAAGUGGGACAGGGUCAAGACGCCUACGGGAGGCAGCAGUGGGGAAUAUGGGACAAUGGGCGCAAGCAUGAUCCAGCCAGACCGCGUGGGUGAAGAAGGCCUUCGGGUUGUAAAGCCCUUUUGUGGGGAAAGAAAAGCAGCAGGUUAAUACGCAGCGGGUCUGACGGUACCCAAAGAAUAAGCACCGGCUAACUUCGUG